rnacentral:rRNA from 1 species
UACGUAGGCAGCGAGCGUUGUUCGGAGUUACUGGGCGUAAAGGGUGUGUAGGCGGUUGUUUAAGUUUGGUGUGAAAUCUCCCGGCUCAACUGGGAGGGUGCGCCGAAUACUGAAUGACUUGGAGUGCGGGAGAGGAAAGUGGAAUUCCUGGUGUAGCGGUGAAAUGCGUAGAUAUCAGGAGGAACACCGGUGGCGAAGGCAGGUCUCUGGGACGGUACUGACGCUGAGACGCGAAAGCGUGGGGAGCGAACAGG